UUUACGGACCCGGUUUACAAUGAUCAAUGGAGCUAUGGAAACAGGAGACACCGCGCUGGAGCCUGCUGGCCUCCCAUCUGGAGCCUCGCAGGCACUGAAGACAGCAGCAGCUGGGGGUGUAUUUCGAAGGCGAGGGAUGACUAGCAAGUAUGAGCCAGAUGAGACCUCUGGGGUGACCUGGAAUUACAGAGGCCACUCAUUCUCGGAAUAGGGUUAUGAAAACUAUAAUAUUGUAGAGAUGAAAAGGACCUGUGAAGACCACCUGAUCUGUCAACUUUCUCAAAAGACCACACCUACAUGUAGACAAGUAGGUGUGUGACCUUAAAAACUUUAGGCUCUCAGAACUUCCGGUGUCUCACUAUAUCAUGAAAGGAAGUUCUUCCUUUUGUGUGACCUAUAUAGUACAUGUUGCGGGCAAGUCCCUCUCAUUCCUGGAAGCUCGCUCAUUGAUGCUGGAAAGGCGUCUCCCCACAGCUUUGGAUAGAUGUCUAGAACCCUCCCUUCAUUGGAGCAGUAGGUGCAGGGGAAAAUUGGAUGUGCUGGAAGAGAGAAGUUGGCAUGUGGGCCAGCCUGGUACCUGCACCUGACCCCCACCAUCAAUCUUGCACCCCCUUUCAUAUCCACAAACAUUGACUGAGCACCAGUUAAGGUCAAGUAUUGUACUGGGCAUAGGAAUGCUCAGAGGACCCUGAUGGACCUUGAGUGCCUUGAGAAGUUACAUAUAUAUAUAUUUACACGUAUA